rnacentral:rRNA from 1 species
GAUGAACGCUGGCGGCGUGCCUAACACAUGCAAGUCGAGCGAAGCGCUUAAAUUAGAUUUCUUCGGAAUGACGAUUUUUGUGACUGAGCGGCGGACGGGUGAGUAACGCGUGGGUAACCUGCCUCAUACAGGGGGAUAACAGUUAGAAAUGACUGCUAAUACCGCAUAAGACCCCAGCCUCGCAUGAAGCGGUGGUAAAAACUCCGGUGGUAUGAGAUGGACCCGCGUCGGAUUAGCUAGUUGGUAAGGUAACGGCUUACCAAGGCGACGAUCAGUAGCCGAGCUGAGAGGGUGACCGGCCACAUUGGGGCUGAGACACGGCCCAGACUCCUACGGGAGGCAGGAGUGGGGAAUAUUGCACAAUGGGGGAAACCCUGAUGCAGCGACGCCGGGUGAAGGAUGAAGUAUUUCGGUAUGUAAACUUCUAUCAGCAGGGAAGAAAGUGACGGUACCUGACUAAGAAGCCCCGGCUAACUACGUG